AUCAGGUUUUCUUGGAGUCGGGUUGCUUGGGGAUGCAUCCCAAGCAUGUGGUAAACUCCCAUUUAUGGGUGGCUAACAAGUACUAUAAGGGAAAGUUGAUAAGAACUUUGAAGAGAGAGUUCAGGAGGGCGUGAACCCGUUCAGAGGUAAACUGAUGGGUACGUGCAGUCUGCCCGCAGGAUUCAAACACGGCAGGCAGGUCGGUCGCCUGGAGUGGUGGAUGCCCUUGCAGGACUGUGGCCCGGGCAGACCCUGCCCGCAGGGCGCAUUUCCUCUGUGGCGCUGCACUGUGACUGGCUGGGAGGCCCUAGGGGGGCAGGCGGCUCUCUGCUCCGGCAGAAAUUGUUACAGCCCCUCACAGCAGUUUUGCUGUGUUCGCAGGUCCGAGGAAGAUUGACCGCUGCCGUUGCCCUUCUCCGCAACUGUCCUGGCCCCUCUUGGGGGUCGCCGGGCGGUGACGGAGGCAGGGCUCCCAAUGCGACUGUGGUUGACUGCACUCAGUGCGCCCCGACCACGGCGUGUCGCUGGGCUGGUAGGCCCACAAAGGGUGCCAGGCAUCUUGAGGGUGCGUGAGUUGGGGGGCCAAAUGAAACCUUCUGGUGCAAAGAAGGUGAGGGCUGGCGCAUGCCGAUGCAGUGGGAUCUUGUUGCGGUGGGUGCACCACCGACCCCUCUCGUCUGCUCUUGUCAGCGAGAUGGAGCAUGACCGUGUGUGAUAGGACCCAAAAUAUGGUGAACUAGGCCUGGUGGAGGUCCGUAGAGGUCCUGAAGUGUGAAUCGGUCAUCCGACCUGGGUAUAGGGGCAAAAGACUAAUCGAACCAUCUAGUAGCUGGUUCCCCCGCAGUUUCCCUCGGAUGGCUGGUGCACGGAAACCCCCGUUUUAUCUGUAAAGCGAGUGUUUAGAGGCCUUGGGGCCAAAAUGAUCUCAACCUAUUCUCAAACUUUAAAUGGGUAAGAAGCCUGGCUCGCUGGUGUGGAGCCGGGCAUUGAAUGUAAGCGGGCAACUUUUGUUAAGCAGAACUGGCAAUGCGGGAUGCACCAAAUGCCGGGUCAAGGCGCCCAAUGCCGACGCUUAUCAGACCCAGAAAAGGUGUUGGUUGAUAUAGACAGCAGGGCGGUGGCCAUGGUCGUAAUCUGCUAAGGAGCCCCGGGAGAGUUAUUUUCUUUGUGAAGGGCAAUGCACCCUGGAAUGCGUUCUCCCUGAGAGAGGGGCCGAGCCUUGGAAAGCUUUGGCGGAUCCGGCGGCAUGCAGUGAGCUAUCGCUGGUCCUUGAAAAUCUGGGGGAGAUGGUGUAAAUCAUAUACGCAGCAGGUCUCCAAGGUGAACAGCCUCUGGCAUGUUGGAACAAUAUAGGUAAGGGAAGUCGGCAAGUCGAAUCCGUAACUUUGGAUAAGGAUUGGCUCUAAGGGCUGGGUCGGUCGGGCUGGGGCGCGAAGCAGGGCUGGGCGCGCGUGUUGCGACUGGACGAGGCGUCUCACCCUCCUUCCCCCGGGGCGGUGCCAACUAGGGAUGCGAGCCAGGCCCUGCCUGUGGAUUGCCCCAGAUGCGGUGGUCGCCUCUCUCCGUUGCCCUUCCAGGGUUCGUGGGCGACGUUCUGCAUCGGCCGACGCCUAGCAGCUGACUUGAAACCGGUGCGGACCAGGGGAAUCUUGAAAUGUUUAAAACAGCAUCGGGAAGGCCUGUGGUGGGUGUUGACGCAAUGUGAUUUCUGCCCAGUGCUCUGAAUGUCAAAGUGAAGAAAUUCAAUGAAGCACGGGUAAACGGCACGAGUAACUGACUCUCUUAAGGUAGCCAAAAGCCUUGUCAUCUAAUUAGUGAUGAAUGGAUGAAUGAGAUUCCCACUGUUCCUACCUACUAUCUAGCGAAACUGCCGCCAACGGCAGGCUUGGAAGAAGCAGCGGGGAGAUAAGACCCAGUUGAGCUUGCGUCUAGUCUGUCACUGUGAAGAGACAUGCAAGGUGUAGGAUAAGUGUUAAACCCUCGGGCCACCAGUGAAAUACCACUACUUUUUUCACUUACCCAGUGAGUUGGGGACAAGCCCUGUGGGCCUCUCACUUCUGGUUCCAAUCGCUCACUGCCGUCGUGCGCACCCCGCUCCGGGCACAAUGGCAUUUGGAGAGUUUGACCGGGCGGUACACCUGUCGAAACAAUAACGCAGGUAUCCUAGGGCAAGCUCGGGAAGGACAGAAACCUCCUGUGGAGCAGAGGGGAAACGCUGGUUUGAUAUCGAUUUUUCAGUAUGAAUACAGACCAUGAAAGCUGGGUCUCGCGAUCCUUUUGACUUUUUGGGUUUCAAGCAGGAGGUGUCAGAAAAGGUACCACAUGGGUAACUGGCUUGUUGCGGCCAAGCGUUCAUAGUGACAUCGCUUUUUGGUCCUUCUGGGUUGUCUCUUCCUAUCAUUGUGAAACAGAAUUCACCAACCGUUGGAUUGGUCACCCACUAAUGGGGAACGCGAGGUGGGUUUAGACCGUUGUGAGACAGGUUAGUUUUACUCGACUGAUGAUAUGUUGUUGCAAUAGUAACCCUGCUCGGAACCACAGGUGUUUGUGCUUGGCUGAGGAGCCAAUGGGGCAAAGCUACCAUCUGUGGGAUUAUGACUGAAUGCCUCUAAAUCAGAAUUCCCCUUUGCCCCCUAAACCGUAACAAUACUUCAGCGCUGUCGAGCUUAGGUUGGCCUAGGAUAGCCAGCCUCGGGGCCGGUGCGUAGAGCCGCUCGUCUCGGGACUCGAGUGUGGACAGAAGGGGGCCACUUCUCUCGCCCUUAGUGUACCGCAUGUUUGUGGAGAACCUGGUGCUAAAUCAUUCGUAGACGACAAAUUCUGGUUCAGGGUUUCGUAAGUAGCAGAGCAGCUACCUUGCUGCGUCUCUUGAAAGUCAUCCUCUGAGCCAAGCUUUUGU
rnacentral:rRNA from 1 species